rnacentral:rRNA from 1 species
GACGAACGCUGGCGGCGUGCCUAAUACAUGCAAGUCGAACGAGAGCGACCGGUGCUUGCACUGGUCAAUCUAGUGGCGAACGGGUGAGUAACACGUGGGUAACCUGCCCAUCAGAGGGGGAUAACAUCCGGAAACGGAUGCUAAAACCGCAUAGGUCUUCGAACCGCAUGGUUUGAAGAGGAAAAGAGGCGCAAGUUUCUGCUGAUGGAUGGACCCGCGGUGCAUUAGCUAGUUGGUGAGGUAACGGCUCACCAAGGCCGUGAUGCAUAGCCGACCUGAGAGGGUGAUCGGCCACAUUGGGACUGAGACACGGCCCAAACUCCUACGGGAGGCAGCAGUAGGGAAUCUUCCGCAAUGGACGCAAGUCUGACGGAGCAACGCCGCGUGAGUGAAGAAGGUUUUCGGAUCGUAAAACUCUGUUGUUAGAGAAGAACAAGUGCUAGAGUAACUGUUAGCGCCUUGACGGUAUCUAACCAGAAAGCCACGGCUAACUACGUG